UUUAUGGAGAGUUUGAUCCUGGCUCAGGACGAACGCUGGCGGCGUGCCUAAUACAUGCAAGUCGAGCGGACCGACGGGAGCUUGCUCCCUUAGGUCAGCGGCGGACGGGUGAGUAACACGUGGGUAACCUGCCUGUAAGACUGGGAUAACUCCGGGAAACCGGGGCUAAUACCGGAUGCUUGAUUGAACCGCAUGGUUCAAUCAUAAAAGGCGGCUUCGGCUGCCGUUUACAGAUGGACCCGCGGCGCAUUAGCUAGUUGGUGAGGUAACGGCUCACCAAGGCGACGAUGCGUAGCCGACCUGAGAGGGUGAUCGGCCACACUGGGACUGAGACACGGCCCAGACUCCUACGGGAGGCAGCAGUAGGGAAUCUUCCGCAAUGGACGAAAGUCUGACGGAGCAACGCCGCGUGAGUGAUGAAGGUUUUCGGAUCGUAAAGCUCUGUUGUUAGGGAAGAACAAGUACCGUUCGAAUAGGGCGGUACC
rnacentral:rRNA from 1 species